AGUAGAUAAAAUGUUGACAAAAGUACUUUAAAUAGUAAUAGCCCUUUAGUGACUUCCUUCAGCAGUAAUUUUUAUUUAUUCAGAAAGUACAGUGUAUAAAUAAGGCAUAUAAGAAACUGAGGACUAUUUUAAAAGCCUUGUAAAAGUGCUCACGUUACAGCAACAAUUAUUAUUCCCCCAGAAACACUAGUUUACGGCAUAUGGAAAAUUGUUUCUUCUUCUACAAAUAAGUUUUUUAUUAAUUUUCCAAUAUUCCCCCCAAUGACAGCCAAAUUAUAACAAUAUCAAUUAAUUUGGAAAAUUGUUUCUUAACCAGGUGUUUUAUAGUUAACAAGACAAACAGGUAUCUAGAUAUCAUUACUGUCUGGGAGGUACAGGUAGCAGUUGUGGCAACUGUGCAUUCUUCCUUCUCAGGCUUGUAUAUCAGCCAUAGCUGUCAACGUUUCGCUUUUUUAAAGGGAAAUUCCCUUAUUCGUAAUAGGAUUCCUCGCAAGAAAAGGGAAAAGUUGACAGCUAUGACAGCUGUGGCCCUAUCUGGAGCAUCAUGGCCUAGCUUUGGUUGCUUCAGUGCUCAGGGGUUGGGGGUGGUGGCAGUCUCUCAAAGAUGAUUCAGAAACUUAAUGCAAAACACAGCCACCUGGGUGUCAGGGCUUGAGUCAACAGGAAGCAGGAACUCAGGUUGGAGCACUGUUCCAGGACUGCCUCCAUCCGGGAGGGGGGGUCUCCAUGCCUCGUGCUUGCCCAUGGUGGGGCUUUACUUCCAGCUGUUCACCAGCACCCGGGCUCUCGUCAUUAACUUUUAAUUCUUAAAUAGUUUGCACCCUGCAUCUGUGUGAGCCUGCUGGCAAUCUAAGAUCUGUGUCUGAAGUCCUAUUUCUGUGCCAGCCAGUGAAAUUGGUUAGGAAUGCAAAUGGUCUUCUCAUUCAGGCAUUGCCCAGAUGUAGAUGCCUUAGCUUUAAUAAGCCUGCCUUCAGAACCUGUCCUAAAGAAUGUGUGUUCUAGAACCAUGUGAAAGCAUUCUGACAGCCUGUCCUAAUGCUGAUUCAUUACCUUGCACCAUGCGACGAGAAGCUGAAAAUUACCCAAGCAUAUAACAUUGCCAAAAUCAUAGUUCAAAUAAUUUAACUUACAUGUGUAGCUGUAACUGUAUAGGAAAUGUAAUCCUUCCUUUAAUGAAAUAUUAAUUUUGCUAGCAUAUUCACACAUUUUAUGCUGGCCUCGGGAGAAAGGAUAAUCAAUAUUAUAAGUGUUACAUUUUCUGUUCUAAAAUUUGAAAAGACAAACAACAGCACACACUAAAAAACAAUGACAGUGUCACUGCAAAUAUUUCACUUGAAUGAUAUUGACUAGGACAAGCCUUUAAAGAUGUUAUUUAUUGAUUUUUUGCAGAUAACAUAGUUAUAUGAACACAGCCUCAGUUCAGCACUCAUGGAGGGUUGACAAAUGCAACAGAUACAUCAUGUGAGGCUAUAGCUUUGUUCAGUUGUUAGUAGAGGUGAUGUGUGCAAUUCAAGCAGGAGUGAUCACCAAAAGCUGCUACAAGCAGGAUUGGUGCAAGGACAGCCCUGCUCACAGCCUGUUUCAAGCAGGGUUGUGCUUGCUUUGGUCCAACAAGCCACUAUCCCUCUACCAACAACUUAGAUAUGAGACAGCAGAAGAUGUCACUGGAGAAUGCUCACGAACUCCUACUUCCUUUCUUUUUCCACAGUGAGCUUGGAUGAGCAGCAUUAGAUUCCUCAGAUUCAUUUCUCAUUAUAGGGCAAGCCUUGCCAUCACAAAUGGACAUGAAUACACUGCAGACAUGUGUUUUGCCACGCUGAUGGUGCAUGUUGCUGCCCCUACCCAAUUUUAAUUAAGCAGCAACAUAAACAGUUUACCCACAUUUUAAUUUGUAAGGAAAAGACGAAUGUUUUCAACUUCAGUGUUCUAUCCUAUCUUGCUUUUAGGUUAUAUAUGUUUGUAAACAUACAUAUUUGAUGAUAGAAUUGCCUUCAAAAAUACAUAAAUUGGUCUGGUCUAGAUUUGUUUUCUUUUAUUAACUUGCCAGGUAGCUUUAUUCUCUUCUGUUUAGGAACUUCAUACCUGCAGCAAAAGCUAAAAGCCCAGUAUAUAAAGAGGAAAAGAAUGCUGUAAUCUGUGUCCAAAGCUAGCAUUGUUUGUACAUGAAAUCAAUUCUCAAGAGAGACAUUGAUAGAUCAGUAUGUCACAGCUUUGUGUAAACAAAGUCAUGUGAAUUUGAAUGCUUAAUAGAGACCAGAAGAGAAUAGUAUAUCUGAUAAUAUGAACAAAGCAAAGUUCUAUUUGGCUGUGCAAAUAAUGCAUGACAUUUGUAGAGCUAAUAGUCUCAAGAGUCAGCAAGUAGAAAAGGACGUUGAAUUAAAAGUGUACAUAAGGGCACUGAAUUAAGCUAGAAUCCACACGAUAACUUGUCUGACAUACAAUGUAGAGCAUACCUUCUAUAUUAACAGUCUGCACUAAUCUAUAAAUGGGUUAUUUGGUUACUGGGGUGCUGAGAAACUAUUGUUGUUACAGUUCUAUUAUCACCUCCUGCAGACUUUGAUUUCUUCAUUCUAUUGCUCUUGGUAGCAUAGUAGCUCAUUAUUACUAUCCUCCCACCCUGAAGCAUUAUGGCACCAAUUAGAUUCUAAAAACUAAGUGAUGGACAAUAUCAUUCCAGAAGAAACAAGAAACAUUUCUUGCCUUGUUGUUAUAUUGAGCGUUGGUUUUAAUCUCACACUUCUUUUGGAGGCAUUCAUACCUCACCUCCAUUUUUUAAAAUGUAUUUUUUAUUAAAGAUUUCUUGGUUUACAAAA
rnacentral:lncRNA from 1 species